GGGCUGCUGCCCGGUUCGUGCCGGAUCUUUACUCUUGGGGCCUUACGUUCCUUAAGGGAGCUGUCCCUGACCAGGCUCGUGGGCCUGGAUAUACGGUGCCCACCUACUUUUGUAGGUUCCCAAGGAUCAGCGAUCCCACGGCCGUGGCGGCAUCCUU
rnacentral:other from 1 species